ACGAACGCUGGCGGCGUGCUUAACACAUGCAAGUCGAACGGAAAGGCCCUGCUUUUGUGGGGUGCUCGAGUGGCGAACGGGUGAGUAACACGUGAGUAACCUGCCCUUGACUUUGGGAUAACUUCAGGAAACUGGGGCUAAUACCGGAUAGGAGCUCCUGCUGCAUGGUGGGGGUUGGAAAGUUUCGGCGGUUGGGGAUGGACUCGCGGCUUAUCAGCUUGUUGGUGGGGUAGUGGCUUACCAAGGCUUUGACGGGUAGCCGGCCUGAGAGGGUGACCGGCCACAUUGGGACUGAGAUACGGCCCAGACUCCUACGGGAGGCAGCAGUGGGGAAUAUUGCACAAUGGGCGGAAGCCUGAUGCAGCAACGCCGCGUGCGGGAUGACGGCCUUCGGGUUGUAAACCGCUUUCGCCUGUGACGAAGCGUGAGUGACGGUAAUGGGUAAAGAAGCACCGGCUAACUACGUGCCAGCAGCCGCGGUGAUACGUAGGGUGCGAGCGUUGUCCGGAUUUAUUGGGCGUAAAGGGCUCGUAGGUGGUUGAUCGCGUCGGAAGUGUAAUCUUGGGGCUUAACCCUGAGCGUGCUUUCGAUACGGGUUGACUUGAGGAAGGUAGGGGAGAAUGGAAUUCCUGGUGGAGCGGUGGAAUGCGCAGAUAUCAGGAGGAACACCAGUGGCCGAAGGGCGGUUCUCUGGGCCUUUCCUGACGCUGAGGAGCGAAAGCGUGGGGAGCGAACAGGCUUAGAUACCCUGGUAGUCCACGCUGUAAACGGUGGGUACUAGGUGUGGGGUCCAUUCCACGGGUUCCGCGCCGUAGCUAACGCUUUAAGUACCCCGCCUGGGGAGUACGGCCGCAAGGCUAAAACUCAAAGGAAUUGACGGGGCCCCGCACAAGCGGCGGAGCAUGCGGAUUAAUUCGAUGCAACGCGUAGAACCUUACCUGGGUUUGACAUGGAUCGGGAGUGCUCAGAGAUGGGUGUGCCUCUUUUGGGGUCGGUUCACAGGUGGUGCAUGGCUGUCGUCAGCUCGUGUCGUGAGAUGUUGGGUUAAGUCCCGCAACGAGCGCAACCCUUGUUCACUGUUGCCAGCACGUUAUGGUGGGGACUCAGUGGAGACCGCCGGGGUCAACUCGGAGGAAGGUGGGGAUGACGUCAAGUCAUCAUGCCCCUUAUGUCCAGGGCUUCACGCAUGCUACAAUGGCUGGUACAGAGAGUGGCGAGCCUGUGAGGGUGAGCGAAUCUCGGAAAGCCGGUCUCAGUUCGGAUUGGGGUCUGCAACUCGACCUCAUGAAGUCGGAGUCGCUAGUAAUCGCAGAUCAGCAACGCUGCGGUGAAUACGUUCCCGGGGCUUGUACUCACCGC
rnacentral:rRNA from 1 species